rnacentral:rRNA from 1 species
UGGGGAAUUUUGGACAAUGGGCGAAAGCCUGAUCCAGCAAUGCCGCGUGUGUGAAGAAGGCCUUCGGGUUGUAAAGCACUUUUGUCCGGAAAGAAAUCCUUGGCUCUAAUACAGUCGGGGGAUGACGGUACCGGAAGAAUAAGCACCGGCUAACUACGUGCCAGCAGCCGCUGUAAUACGUAGGGUGCAAGCGUUAAUCGGGAAUUACUGGGCGUAAAGCGUGCGCAGGCGGUUUGCUAAGACCGAUGUGAAAUCCCCGGGCUCAACCUGGGAACUGCAUUGGUGACUGGCAGGCUAGAGUAUGGCAGAGGGGGGUAGAAUUCCACGUGUAGCAGUGAAAUGCGUAGAGAUGUGGAGGAAUACCGAUGGCGAAGGCAGCCCCCUGGGCCAAUACUGACGCUCAUGCACGAAAGCGUGGGGAGCAAACAGGAUUAGAUACCCUGGUAGUCCACGCCCUAAACGAUGUCAACUAGUUGUUGGGGAUUCAUUUCCUUAGUAACGUAGCUAACGCGUGAAGUUGACCGCCUGGGGAGUACGGUCGCAAGAUUAAAACUUAAAUGAAUUGACGGGGUCAUAGCUG